rnacentral:tRNA from 1 species
AAGAAAGUGACAGAGUGGUCUUGUGGAUGGCUUGAAACCAUCCAACGGGGGUUCAAUUCCCUCCUUUCUCG